rnacentral:tRNA from 1 species
GGGGAUGUAGCUCAGUUGGGAGAGCGCUGCGUUCGCAAUGCAGAGGUCGUGGGUUCGAAUCCCAUCAUCUCCACCA